CGAGGCCCGAUGACACGAGAUUUCCGGGGAAGCGCAGGGGCUCCGGAGCGCGCCUGGGGCUUUUGCGUCCGACCCACUCGGCCCCUCCCCGCGCCUCCCCGCCCCGCCCUGCGGGCUGCUCCCUGCGCUUGCGCAGAGUUGGGGGCGUCGGGAUCCAAAGUGGUGGAAAAAGCGUCGGCACUAGACCUUUCGGCACUAAAAGCCCCCCAGAAAAAUGCGUGCAAGGGGACAUUGUUGUGUGGAGAGGGUGCGUAAGUUUCGUUAGUUGUUCCAGGUCUGUUACCUUAAAAACCUUUUCUUGUAGGUGAAAAAAUUUGAAGGGGGUGGUGUUUGCACACUGAACAGCAGGCCCGAUGACUGUGAUUAGAAGUCCCAGGUUAAUAGGUUUCUGACCCCAGUGCCCUAAUCUGCCUUGGCUCUUCCUGGGUGCCACCCACGUGCUCUUACAAAAGGUCUUGUCUAGAUUGAAUACAGGAGCUGUGGGCUUUCUGGAGUCCUUCAGCAAUGCAGACAUGGGACAGCCUUCUGCGCCUUUUAAGGAUGCCCGUAUUAUUUUUUGUUUGGUGUCUUGCUUGUUUGCACAUUUAACAAAAACCUACGGUGGGUGGUAAGAAAAUGAAGACUGUCAGAACUGGUGGACAACUCAUCUUCAACGCCAGUCCCUAAAAGUGGAGUGCAGAAGGAAUUAACUCUAGCCCAAGACGUGGUGAAGAGUCGGAUGCUUAUUUCCUAGUUAUUCUUGAGGACGAAAUGGCAGACUGCAGAGUUCCCAGAUGUUACGGAUGACAUCUCCUCAUCAUUACAGGUUCCCGAGAAUGUGAGUCCUAAGUCUGCACCUUUCGUCAAGAGUUCUAGGUUCACAUUUUCAGCUGCUUGUGGGUUGUUGGAUAUUUCUACAUGCAUGUCUUAUUGUCAGUUCUGACUCAGAAGCUCCAAAAACUUCUCCAAUAAACCUUUUUUUCCUAA